AUUUCUUACUAUCACAAUUAAACUCCAAAUCUUUUCUGGUCGGAGAAUACGCAAAUUUGCACAAUAGCAUCUCCAAAAAGUCGGGCAGGCCAGCAAAAAUCUGUUUGUAAUUCAAAGGAGUUGACCAACCAAAAAAUCAGGAUACGCAAAUUUGCAAUAGCCUCUCUCGCCGCCGCCACUGCUCUCACUCGUUGCUCCCUUUCGUGCCGUCAGAUCUUUUCAUUCUCCGCCGUCGUCCUCCGCCGCAGCCAUGCCCGGAGCUGAGACUCACGAUGUGGAGUGGCCGGCGAAGCGCGUGAGGGACACUUUCUUCAUCUUCUUCCAGGACAAAAAUCACGUCAACUGGAAGUCUAGCCCUGUCGUCCCCUUCAAUGACCCCACUCUUCUCUUCGUCAACCCUGGUAUGAACCAGUUCAAGCCAAUAUUUUUGGGAACUGCGGAUCCUAACACUGGCUUGAGCAAGCUCUCUCGUGCUUUCAACACACAGAAGUGCAUUCGAGCUGGUGGUAAACACAAUGAUCUUGAUGAUGUGGGGAAGGAUACUUACCAUCACACCUUCUUUGAGAUGUUGGGCAAUUGGUCAUUUGGGGAUUACUUUAAAGUAGAAGCCAUCAGCUGGGCGUGGGAUCUUCUAACCAAAGUUUACAAAUUACCAUCAGAUUGCAUUUAUGCCACAUAUUUUGGUGGUGAUGAUAAGUCUGGUCUUGCCCCUGAUCUUGAGGCUAGGGAUAUAUGGCUCAAGUUUUUACCUCCGGGACGUGUACUUCCUUUUGGCUGUAAAGACAAUUUCUGGGAGAUGGGUGAUACUGGCCCUUGCGGACCUUGCACUGAAAUACAUUUCGACAGAAUUGGCAACCGUGAUGCUGCAUCAUUGGUUAAUAACGAUGAUCCUACCUGCGUUGAGAUAUGGAACCUUGUCUUUAUUCAGUUCAAUAGGGAGGCUGAUGGCUCUCUUAAACCUCUUCCUGCAAAGCAUGUUGAUAUGGGCUUGGGUUUUGAACGUUUGACCUCUAUACUUCAGGACAAAAUGAGCAAUUAUGAUACGGAUGUCUUCUUGCCAAUCUUUGACGUUAUUCAGUGGGCAACUGGUGCCAGACCAUAUUCUGGGAAAGUUGGACCAGAUGAUGUAGAUAAUGUUGACAUGGCAUACAGGGUUGUUGCAGAUCACAUCAGAACUCUUUCAUUUGCCAUUGCUGAUGGGUCUCGUCCUGGUAAUGAGGGUCGUGAGUAUGUUCUGAGACGUAUACUCCGUUGAGCUGUUCGGUAUGGACGUGAAGUGCUAAAAGCUAAAGAGGGUUUUUUCAAUGGGCUUGUAAGUAUUGUGGUGAAUGUGAUGGGUGAUGUUUUCCCUGAGCUAAAACAACAGGAAACACACAUACGGAAUGUAAUUGAAGAGGAGGAGGAAAGUUUUGGAAGAACCUUAAUUAAGGGGAUUGAGAAAUUUGAGACAGCUGUUCGACAUGUUCAGGGAAAGAUACUGAGUGGGGAGGAAGCAUUUGUCUUGUGGGAUACAUAUGGGUUUCCAUUAGAUCUCACUCAGCUGAUGGCUGAAGAAAAGGGGUUAGUUGUUGAUUUCAAAGGUUUCGAUAGUGCUAUGGAAGCUGCAAGAGAGAGAUCCAGAAGUGCUCAAACAAAGCAAGCUGGUGGUGCCAUUGUCAUGGAGGCCGAUGCUACCUCAGCAUUGCACAAAAGGGGCAUUGUCCCAACAGAUGAUAGCUUCAAAUAUGCUUGGUUCAAGGACCAUGAGAGUGUGGUAAAAGCAAUAUAUACUGGUUCUGAGUUUGUUGAUACUGUUAAUACCAGUGAUGAUAUUGGGGUAGUUCUGGAAUCUACAAGCUUCUAUGCUGAGCAAGGUGGUCAGAUUUUUGAUACUGGAUCACUUGAGGGCUUACAUGCGUCAUUUCAAGUGCGUAAUGUUCAAGUUUAUGGAGGCUUUGUUCUUCACAUUGGUAAUGGGACUGGUGUCUCUGUUGGUGACAAAGUAGUAUGCAAGGUUGAUUAUGGAAGACGCGCCCUUAUAGCCCCUAACCAUACCUGCACGCACAUGUUAAAUUUUGCCCUUAGGGAAGUACUUGGUGAUCGUGUUGACCAGAAAGGAUCUAUUGUUCUUCCUGAAAAAUUGAGGUUUGACUUUUCUCAUGGCAAGCCUGUUGAUGCUGACAAUUUAAGGAGAAUUGAAUCAAUUGUUAAUGAGCAAAUUAAAGCUGAGUUGGAUGUAAGUGCAAAAGAGGCAACUCUUGCUGAAGCCAAGGGUAUCAAUGGUUUGCGAGCUGUUUUUGGGGAAGUCUAUCCUGAUCCUGUUAGAGUUGUGUCAAUUGGACAAAAAGUUGAGGAUCUCCUUGCUGACCCAAAGAAUGAAAAAUGGUUAUCUUUUUCGUCAGAGUUAUGUGGAGGUACCCAUAUUUCAAACACACGAGAGGCAAAAGCUUUUGCACUUUUAUCUGAGGAGGGAAUUGCAAAAGGAAUACGCAGAAUAACAGCUGUUACAAUUGAUCGUGCUUAUGAUGCAAUGAAAGUGGCAGAUGAAUUUGAUCAGCAAGUAGACGAUGCGGCUAAGUUAGAAGGAAGUUUGCUAGAAGAGAAAGUUUCAUCAUUGAAAAGCAAUAUUGAAACUUUAUCUAUUCCUGCUGCCAAGAAAGCUGACAUCAAGACCAAGAUAGCCCGACUUCUGGAUCAAGUAAGAAAAGCACAAAAGCUGGUUGCUGAGGAAAACAAGCGUAAAGCUUUAAUGAUUACAGCAGAGAAGGCGGAACUUGCUGCUUCAAAUGGGAAAACUUUUUGCAUAUCUCACGUUGAUGUUGGUCUGGAUGUAGCUGCAGUUCGUGAGGCAGUUACAAAAGUCAUGGACCAGAAAGGCUUAUCUGUGAUGGUUUUUAGCACGGAUGAAUCUACUAACAAGGCUGUAGUUUGUGCUGGGGUGCCAGAGAAAGGAGGUCAAGGUAAGCUGGAUGUGGCAGAUUGGCUGAGUAAUGCUUUGGGGCCUCUAAAAGGGAGAUGUGGUAAAGGAAAAGGUGGUCUUGCUACGGGUCAGGGUACAGAGGCAUCACAUGUAAACGAAGCUAUGGAUCUUGCAGAAAAAUUUGCGUCGAUGAAAUUGAGUUAAAUGGAGUAUUGCAGUAUAUCCUUCCUGGGGUGUAAGCAAUGAUAUGGAUCUUUCGUUUGGUAUAAUCAUACAGAAGGGAAGGGCACUUGAAGUAAUUAUUAGAUCCGAAUGAGUUGAACAAAUUUCUAAUUUAGUGCCUGAAUAUUCUUUUGAUACAAACAUGUUAGUUUUUGGUUUAUGUAUAGAUCACAAAUUGUUCCACAAUACAGUAGCAACUGCUCUGAUAGAUUAUGAAGAUAUUUUGAAAUUUUAAACUCACCAUUUUCGAAAG